rnacentral:rRNA from 1 species
AUUGAACGCUGGCGGCAUGCUUUACACAUGCAAGUCGAACGGUAACAGGUUAAGCUGACGAGUGGCGAACGGGUGAGUAAUGCAUCGGAACGUGCCCGAUCGUGGGGGAUAACGCAGCGAAAGCUGCGCUAAUACCGCAUACGAUCUGAGGAUGAAAGCGGGGGACCGUAAGGCCUCGCGCGAUCGGAGCGGCCGAUGUCAGAUUAGGUAGUUGGUGGGGUAAAGGCUCACCAAGCCGACGAUCUGUAGCUGGUCUGAGGGGACGACCAGCCACACUGGGACUGAGACACGGCCCAGACUCCUACGGGAGGCAGCAGUGGGGAAUUUUGGACAAUGGGCGAAAGCCUGAUCCAGCAAUGCCGCGUGCAGGAAGAAGGCCUUCGGGUUGUAAACUGCUUUUGUACGGAGCGAAAAGGCUCUCUCUAAUACAGGGGGCUUAUGACGGUACCGUAAGAAUAAGCACCGGCUAACUACGUGCCAGCCGCCGCAGUAA